rnacentral:rRNA from 1 species
CACAUGCAAGUCGAGCGAAGCACUUAAGUGGAUCUCUUCGGAUUGAAACUUAUUUGACUGAGCGGCGGACGGGUGAGUAACGCGUGGGUAACCUGCCUCAUACAGGGGGAUAACAGUUAGAAAUGGCUGCUAAUACCGCAUAAGCGCACAGGACCGCAUGGUCUGGUGUGAAAAACUCCGGUGGUAUGAGAUGGACCCGCGUCUGAUUAGCUAGUUGGAGGGGUAACGGCCCACCAAGGCGACGAUCAGUAGCCGGCCUGAGAGGGUGAACGGCCACAUUGGGACUGAGACACGGCCCAGACUCCUACGGGAGGCAGCAGUGGGGAAUAUUGCACAAUGGGGGAAACCCUGAUGCAGCGACGCCGCGUGAAGGAAGAAGUAUCUCGGUAUGUAAACUUCUAUCAGCAGGGAAGAAAAUGACGGUACCUGACUAAGAAGCCCCGGCUAACUACGUGCCAGCAGCCGCGGUAAUACGUAGGGGGCAAGCGUUAUCCGGAUUUACUGGGUGUAAAGGGAGCGUAGACGGAAGAGCAAGUCUGAUGUGAAAGGCUGGGGCUUAACCCCAGGACUGCAUUGGAAACUGUUUUUCUAGAGUGCCGGAGAGGUAAGCGGAAUUCCUAGUGUAGCGGUGAAAUGCGUAGAUAUUAGGAGGAACAUCAGUGGCGAAGGCGGCUUACUGGACGGU